GCCAAGUGGAUAAAAAAUAAGCAAGUAUGAGUGCGAUAAAAAAUGUUAGUCAGAAUCGCAUAUUUUUACCUCUGUGCCUAAUUUAAUAAAGCAGUGCAUAACAAAAGAAAAAGCAAUUAAUCACACGAACUUGUCGUAGCUUUGAUAAGGUUUAUUCCUACUUAAUAAUAAUUAUGAAUAUGUGCGUAUAGUUUACUGAAGUGAAAUUCGUCAACUUAAUAAGUACCGAAUACAACGGUGAAAAUAUGCGAUUCUGAGUAGCAUUUUUUAUUGGACUCGUACUUGCUUAUUUUUUAUCCAUUUGGC